CGACUUUCAUUUGAUUCAUACAUAGCUCUAAGAAUAAAUAGCUCAAAAGAUAUAAUAUAGUUAAUUGAGAUUGAAGAUACCAAUGUGUUCUGUUACUUUGUUCUUUACUUCUUUUCCAGCAAACCUGUCUCACACAAAUGAGAACCUGAAUAUGGAUAAAUUGUAAUAAAAUUAAGUAUCUGAGAACUCACAAGUUAGAAGAUACCAAUGUUUUCUGUCACUUUGUUUUUUUCCAGCAAACAUAUCUCAGACAAGUUAUAUUAUAUGAGAACCUGAAUAUGGAUAAAUUGCAACAAAAAUAACUACAUGAGAACGCACAAGUUAAUUGAAUGUAGAGUAGAGAUAGUGGCAAUAAAAUUAGACAUAAAGAUUUACAAUCACACUUAUAUUUUAAUAGUUUUAAAGCUUAGCAAUUGAGGUUCUACACAUUAGAAUUACUAACACGUUGUAAAGAAAAUUGUGUGUUAAAAAUGAGGUAUACAUUAACCUUCCAUCAAAACUGAUAGAACAUAUAUCAGUUCUAAAAAAAAAGAGCCUAUUUAUGAACUAUACAUUGCUACUUAAAAUGCCUAAUAGUAUUAGUACUACAUGAUAAGUACGUAACUUGAACAAGGAGAACAAGAAAGCAUGCAUAAGACAUGCCUUAUAAGGAGAACAAGAAACAAAGGUUACCAACAGGCGAACCCACAAUAUAGAAGGAAACAAAAAGGCACAAAGAGUGAUAGAAGGAAAUAAUGAUGAGGUGGCAUGAGUGCAUGAAGAGCAUGAGGACUCACUCCAAGCUUUUCUUCCAUUCUACUUCAUUAUUAUUACUGUUUCAUUCAUUUUCUUAAUUGGUCCGACCUACCGGAUCCGACGAGAGCCGGAUCCGACGAGAGCCAGUGAUGGAGGAUGUUUGGACUAUGAAGAAUCAAUUACCGGGUUUCAUGGGAACCGAUCCUGUUGGCUGGAUCGCUGUGGCCGAAUGGUUCUUUGAGAAGAAUGAAGUCCCUUGUCGCGAUAAGCUUCGGUGGGCUUUUAUGAGCAUGGAGGAUGAACAAGCGAGGAUGUGGUUAUAUUAUUGGUGUGAAGAGAACCCCGAUGCAGAUUGGAAAACGUUUUCCAUGGCUAUGAUGAGACAAUCUGGAGCACAGGUGGAGUACUUGACAGAAAAACACGUUGAGCCAAAAUUGAAGGUGAUCGAGGCAUUCUCCGAUGACCGAGAAGAAGUUCGCAUCAAAGAAACUGAUCGUAAUCCCAAUGGCGGAAAGGUUGGAAACNNNNNNNNNNNAAGGUUGGAAACAACUGAGACACAAAGAAGUGGGAAGGAAGGAGCGAAUGAUGAAUGAUUCUGUGAGCGUGAUGAAGAUGAAAGAGAAACAGGGGAAAACGGUAGAGGGGAAAGAAAUCUAUCAUACAAUACAAUCAUGUGUGAAGGAAUCGGUGCUAGGUCCUUGAAGAUUCUGACCAAUCUCUCACCGUCGUCAGAAUCGAUAGAUCGGAAAGAGCACGCAGAAGAAAAUGAGAUGCAGAGCGUGGAAGAAAUAGUUAUGCAGGAACUUACGAAGUCGCCGGACUGUGGUCAACCUGCGAUGGCACUAAUCAACAGUUAGCGAACAUUGAACAGUUUGUGACACUUGGUGAUGAGUCGCGAAAGGAAACUGCAGGGUUGAUGUUCAGCGAAUCACCAUGGGAGCUAUG
rnacentral:lncRNA from 1 species